rnacentral:rRNA from 1 species
UGGUUAAAAAGCUCGUAGUUGGAUCUCGGCGGACUGAGGGCGGUUUGCUUGCUAGUAUUACUGCCCUAUAGUCCGUAGUUUUGCCAGAGGUUUCGGGGUGCUCUUAAUCGAGUGUCCCGGGAUGCUGGCAGGUUUACUUUGAAAAAAUUAGAGUGCUCAAAGCAGGCUAUUACGCCUGAAUAUUCGUGCAUGGAAUAAUAGAAUAGGAAGUCGUUUCUAUUUUGUUGGUUUUCGGAAAUCGACUUAAUGAUUAAUAGGGACAGUCGGGGGCAUUUGUAUUCAAACGACAGAGGUGAAAUUCUUGGACCGUUUGAAGACAAACUACUGCGAAAGCAUUUGCCAAGAAUGUUUUCAUUAGUCAAGAACGAAAGUUAAAGGUUCGAAGGCGAUUAGAUACCGCCCUAGUUUUAACCAUAAACGAUGCCAGCUAGCGAUCUGCGGACGUUUUUUUUGUAGACUCCGCAGGAAGCUUCCGGGAAACCAAAGCAUUUGGGUUCCAGGGGAAGUAUGGUUGCAAAGCUGAAACUUAAAGGGAUUGACGGAAGGGCACCACCAGGAGUGGAGCCUGUGGCUUAAUUUGACUCAACACGGGAAAUCUCACCAGGCCCGGACACUGGAAGGAUUGACAGAUUGAUAGCUCUUUCUUGAUUCGGUGGGUGGUGGUGCAUG